rnacentral:misc_RNA from 1 species
GAUGAAGAACGUAGCGAAAUGCGAUACUUGGUGUGAAUUGCAGAAUCCCGUGAACCAUCGAGUCUUUGAACGCAAGUUGCGCCCGAAGCCAUUAGGCCGAGGGCACGCCUGCCUGGGCGUCACACGUCGUUGCCCCCCCAUCUACUCCUUCGGGAUUGCGGGGGGCGGAUGAUGGCCUCCCGUGCGCCUCGUCGCGCGGUUGGCAUAAAUGCCAAGUCCUCGGCGACACACGCCACGACAAUCGGUGGUUGCGAAACCUCGGUUGCCCGUCGUGUGCGGUCGUCGCGCAUCGAGGGCUCGAAAAAAUUGCCGGGCUCCGGCUCGGCUUUCAACGCGACCCCAGGUCAGGCGGGGUUACCCGCUGAAUUUAAGCAUAUCAAUAAGCGGGGA